rnacentral:rRNA from 1 species
ACGAAGGGUGCAAGCGUUACUCGGAAUUACUGGGCGUAAAGGGUGCGUAGGUGGUUUUUUAAGUCUGCUGUGAAAUCCCCGGGCUCAACCUGGGAAUGGCAGUGGAUACUGGAAAGCUGGAGUGCGGUAGAGGGUAGUGGAAUUCCCGGUGUAGCAGUGAAAUGCGUAGAUAUCGGGAGGAACACCAGUGGCGAAGGCGGUUGCCUGGGGCUUUGCUGACGCUGAUGCGCGAAAGCGUGGGGAGCGAUCCGGA